GACAGGUGGUGCAUGGUUGUCGUCAGCUCGUGUCGUGAGAUGUUGGGUUAAGUCCCGCAACGAGCGCAACCCUUAUCUUUAGUAGCCAGCAUUUAAGGUGGGCACUCUAGAGAGACUGCCGGGGAUAACCCGGAGGAAGGUGGGGAUGACGUCAAAUCAUCAUGCCCCUUAUGACCAGGGCUACACACGUGCUACAAUGGCGUAAACAAAGGGAAGCGACCCUGUGAAGGUAAGCAAAUCCCAAAAAUAACGUCUCAGUUCGGAUUGUAGUCUGCAACUCGACUACAUGAAGCUGGAAUCGCUAGUAAUCGCGAAUCAAAUGUCGCGGUGAAUACGUUCCCGGGUCUUGUAC
rnacentral:rRNA from 1 species